AUCUGGUUCUUUAAUGCCACUUAUUCGAACUGGACUUUUAUUACAUUUUCAUAUUAAGCCCAAUCAUUUAGCCCAUUCCUUUGAACAUCUGUUACAAGCCCACACGAUUAGGUUUCUUCUUCAUUUUUCCUUUCACGCCUGCGACCUUCCUUCUUCCUCUCAAGACGACCCCCCUACGAAAUUUCACAGAGACUUAAAGCUGCGUUCGAUCUUCCUAACGUCUCAACCAUCCAUUAAUCUGUUCUUUACUCCGAGUUUUUCCUUGAUUAUUCCACUCCUCCCGCGUUUCAUUUAUUCCUCAUCACCACCUCUGUCAGCUUCCUCACACUCAUUAUCUCAAAGAAGCGUUGUGACUCUCCUCUCCACAAACGGCCAAAAAACUAUCCAAACCAUGACGGCUUCCCAACUAUGGCUCUCUGCAUUGAAUCGUUGUAAUGGCGACAAUUGUCACACGGCUGCUCCCUUUUUGGGAAGCUCGGAAUGUGAAGAAAGGCGUUGAAGAAGCUGGGAUGAUGAGUACUGAAUCCUUACUAAACAACUUCUUAAGUGUUUUUCGUUACUUCCCGUUAAAAACUCAAUUUUUAGGUCUUUAGUUUGCUGUUAGAAAGAUUGAACCUUGCGUCUAGGGAUUGAUUCAUAUAGGCUGAGCUUUAUGUGUAGAAGACUAAAGGAAAGAUCUUUCAAAAUCAAAGCUUUGAUUCUUCGGCUGACAAUGCGUUAUCUCAAAUAUUUUCUCUACAUAUAAUGUCUAACAAGAGUUUUGACCAAAAAAAAAAAAAUAUAAUGUCUAACAAGAGAAAGUGGUGAAAACAAAUCGUGAUACCACUAUGAACAGUUCAAAAGUGAUCGAUCAGGUUCACUGAUUCGGUAGAGACAACAAGUGAUCAUUUUGGAGAAAGCAAGGCAAGAUUUAGAAACACUGAGGGAACACAUCUUUUCACGGCUGAUGAAAGAGCUCCAAGUUACUGAUUUGUGGAAGCUGCUGCAAACUUAUUCCCCAGGGUCAUAUGCAUGAGUAUGUUGACAGCAACGGUUUUUAAGUUCUGUGUAUCAAGGACACUCUCUACUCCCGAUGAGAUUAACACUAUGCUUUUACAGCUUAGUGACUCCUUUAAAGCCGCCGCAGAUCAAUAUGCUCAAUGCGUAAGCCGUUUCGUCAGAUGUACAACUUAAUGUUGUUCUAUAUCAGUGAAAACACUUAAGCUAACAGCUACAACAUUCACGAAGCAACUUCAUGCAAUGGUCAAGAAAAAGUCACCUCCACCGGCUAGAAACCAAGCUCCAGCUCCGACAGAGUGAUAACAAGCGUUCAAAGCAUCUUCCUUACGAACUCCACUGCUUGGUCGCAAAUAGUCAAUGAACAACCAGUGGCUGGAAAAACAUCGAAAGGUGGUCAUGGUUAAUGAGGAGUUUUUAAGGCCACAACCCUGCACAGCUACGAGAGCCACUAAAGAGCCUUUGGGAAAGACUGCUCGAGCAGCUCACCAAGAGAUCCAAGCACAUAAAAGAAAUGGUGGUUUCCAACAAGUUUAUUGUGGAUUAUGUCACUGUUUUCAGAUAUCAUUAAACUCAGUGUAGCAUCUAUUACGUAAUGUUUCUUUUAGAUUUGUAAAACUGGAAACACACCCUGACAUUCAAAAUAUUGGUGACUAAAUGCAGGUUAAAAAAAAAGGUUGAACAGGGUCCCCCUAGGCUUCCUAUAGGGCACCACCAAAAUGCUUGCCACAGCCUCCGUAGAUUGCUGGGGAAUAGAAACUGGAAUCUCUGUUGCAGCAACCAACACAUAUGAUGGUGUAGAAAACAGAGGUCGGGAUCAUUCUCCUUAUAGUUAAUACCAUUAUAUUCCUGGGUUCUAAAAGUUUAUGUCCAUAUCUGUGCGAUGUAGCUAAUGCGAACAAAUCUAGAGCUCUACAGAUAAACCAAGAAUCUUUGUACAUAGUGAAAGCCACAUGUCUUCAUAUUCUGCCUAUGUCAGCAUUGAGAGUUGAAGUAUUCUCUGAAACCACAAUGCUUUGUUCAAGAAUUAUUAUACAACUUUUAUGUCAA